AAGUCGUAACAAGGUCUCCGUAGGUGAACCUGCGGAAGGAUCAUUAAUCGUAGGGCUUCGGCCCUGUCGAAGAUAGAACCCUUGCCUUUUUGAGACCUUUCGUUUCCUCGGGCAGCCUCGGCUGCCAAUGGGGACCCCAAAAAACACUUUUGCAGUACCUGUAACAGUCUGAACCAAACAACAAAAUUAAAA
rnacentral:misc_RNA from 1 species